AGUGGAAAUUCUGGAGGGUCAUCCAAGAGAGGAAGAGUAGAGAGAAAUAGAGAGCCAAAGGAAGAGAUAGAAGAAGAGGGUCAAGAUCAAGUUAGAAUACAUCAAGAUUAUGCAAGAUUAAGUAGCUAUGAAGAUUCUAGAUUCAUAAAGAUUUCAAGGGACUUUCUCCAUGGAUUUCGGAAUUUGAACUCAUCACAUGUGAUCAACUCGAAGGUCAGCCCUAGGUCAACUUCAUGAAACUUUUGUGGGACCUGUUUUGCAAAGCCUCCAAAAUUCGAGCCUUUUGUUCUUUUGAAGAGUUCCUUUGAUGCCACAUUUUAGUUAAGUCUUUGAUGGCUUUUGUUGAACACUUGGUUAAUAUGUAAAUUUUGGGUGUGAACUCUUUAUAUUGCAUGAUUAA